GGAAGUAAAAGUCGUAACAAGGUCUCCGUAGGUGAACCUGCGGAGGGAUCAUUACCGAGUGAGGGCCCCGCGGCCCGACCUCCAACCCUUUGUGAACCAAACCUGUUGCUUCGGGGGCGACCCUGCCGUUCGCGGACGGGCGCCCCCGGGGACCAAUUAACUCUGCAUCAUUUUUUCGUCUGAGUUUAUAACAAAUGAACAAAACUUUCAACAACGGAUCUCUUGGUUCUGGCAUCGAUGAAGAACGCAGCGAAAUGCGAUAAGUAAUGUGAAUUGCAGAAUUCAGUGAAUCAUCGAAUCUUUGAACGCACAUUGCGCCCCGUGGUAUUCCGCGGGGCAUGCCUGUUCGAGCGUCAUUUCACCACUCGAGUCUGACUCGGUAUUGGGGGCCGCGACCCGUCGCGCCCCUUGAAGUCUCCGGCUGGGCGGUCCGUCUCCGAGCGUUGUGGCAUCUCGUCUCGCUAGGGAGGUACGGGCGGCGUCGGCCGUUAAACACCCCAUCAAAGGUUGACCUCGGAUCAGGUAGGGAUACCCGCUGAACUUAAGCAUAUCAAUAAGCGGAGGA
rnacentral:rRNA from 1 species